rnacentral:rRNA from 1 species
GGGUGGUAAUGCCGGAUGUUCCAGUUGGUCGCAUGGCCUUCUGGGAAASSUUUCGCGGUAUGGGAUGGGGUCGCGUCCUAUCAGCUUGACGGCGGGGUAACGGCCCACCGUGGCUUCGACGGGUAGCCGGCCUGAGAGGGCGACCGGCCACAUUGGGACUGAGAUACGGCCCAGACUCCUACGGGAGGCAGCAGUGGGGAAUAUUGCACAAUGGGCGCAAGCCUGAUGCAGCGACGCCGCGUGAGGGAUGGAGGCCUUCGGGUUGUAAACCUCUUUUAUCGGGGAGCAAGCGUGAGUGAGUUUACCCGUUGAAUAAGCACCGGCUAACUACGUGCCAGCAGCCGCGGUAAUACGUAGGGUGCAAGCGUUAUCCGGAAUUAUUGGGCGUAAAGGGCUCGUAGGCGGUUCGUCGCGUCCGGUGUGAAAGUCCAUCGCUUAACGGUGGAUCCGCGCCGGGUACGGGCGGGCUUGAGUGCGGUAGGGGAGACUGGAAUUCCCGGUGUAACGGUGGAAU